rnacentral:rRNA from 1 species
AUUGAACGCUGGCGGCAUGCCUUACACAUGCAAGUCGAACGGUAACAGGUUAAGCUGACGAGUGGCGAACGGGUGAGUAAUAUAUCGGAACGUGCCCAGUCGUGGGGGAUAACGUAGCGAAAGCUACGCUAAUACCGCAUGCGAUCUACGGAUGAAAACGGGGGAUCGCAAGACCUCGCGCGAUUGGAGCGGCCGAUAUCAGAUUAGGUUGUUGGUGAGGUAAAAGCUCACCAAGCCUGCGAUCUGUAGCUGGUCUGAGAGGACGACCAGCCACACUGGAACUGAGACACGGUCCAGACUCCUACGGGAGGCAGCAGUGGGGAAUUUUGGACAAUGGACGCAAGUCUGAUCCAGCAAUGCCGCGUGCAGGACGAAGGCCUUCGGGUUGUAAACUGCUUUUGUACGGAACGAAACGGUGAGCUCUAAUACAGUUUGCUAAUGACGGUACCGUAAGAAUAAGCACCGGCUAACUACGUGCCAGCCGCCGCUGUAA